UACGUAGGUGGCAAGCGUUGUCCGGAUUUACUGGGCGUAAAGGGCGUGCAGGCGGUCUGUUAAGUCUAGGGUGAAAGCUCCCGGCUCAACUGGGAGAGGUCCUUGGAUACUGGCGGACUUGAGGGAGGCAGAGGAAAGUGGAAUUCCCGGUGUAGUGGUGAUAUGCGUAGAUAUCGGGAGGAACACCAGUGGCGAAGGCGGCUUUCUGGGCCUUACCUGACGCUGAGGAGCGAAAGUGUGGGGAGCGAACAGG
rnacentral:rRNA from 1 species